ACAGGCGUGUAAACAGAUCAUUAAAAUGCAAUGUCGCAAGGGCUCUGGGAGAGUCACAGACAAGGAGCACAGGGCAGGAAGUGACUAACUCACCCUGGGAGACGUCUCACAGAAGAAGUACUGUUCAACACGAGCCUGGAAAGAAAGAAGCAGCCGCUUUCCACUGAGAGCCAGAAGCCAAAAUCCGAACUGUUGUCGUGAGGUCACAAGGGUGAUCUCAUAUACGGUGCCAUCUAUUCCAUCUCAGGCCAUUCCUGUGCAGCUGCUUCGAGCUAAAACUCCUCCACGCUCCACUUCUGAUUUUCCAGGGUUUCCCUGUCUGUCAGUUUCAGCCUGCCCCCUCCUGUUAUUUUUAGAUUUGAUUUUAGUCCUUAUAAAGGGCCAGGGGUGAGGAUAGGGAGAAAAUUUUCUUCAUUUUAAUUAAAAGCAGAU
rnacentral:lncRNA from 1 species